AUACCUUUGUCGACCUUUUGGCUAAGGUAAAGUGUAAUAUUUGAUCUUAUCGGUUUAAUAUCUGAUAUAUAGACCAUAUGUUUAUUUUGAUAUUAAAUUAUUUUUUAUGGAUAUCAAAUAUAUGUGUGACAGCACAACACACAUGCAUUGUACUACUU
rnacentral:snRNA from 1 species